CACGUGGGUAAUCUACCCUCGAGUGGGGAAUAAGCUUCCGAAAGGGGGUAUAAUGCCGCAUAACGUUUCAUAACGAUGGUUAUGAAACCAAAGCCCAAAAGGCGCUUGAGGAGGAGCGUGCGUCCUAUCAGCUUGUUGGCAGGGUAAUGGCCUACCAAGGAUAUGUCGGGUAGCCGGCUUGAGAGGGUGUCCGGCCACACUGGAAUUGAGACACGGUCCAGACUCAUACGGGAGGCAGCAGUGGGGAAUUUUGAGCAAUGGGGGAAACCCUGACGCAGCGACGCCGCGUGGAGGAUGACGGCUUUCGGGUUGUAAACUCCUGUCAGAAGGGACGAAAUCCCGCAAGGGACUGACGGUACCUUCAGAGGAAGCCCCGGCUAACUACGUG
rnacentral:rRNA from 1 species